rnacentral:lncRNA from 1 species
AUCUGACAGGAGUUUGAUGUACUGAUUGAGGCCAUGCUGGACGCUCCUUAUAAAAAGGAGGAGGUGAUAGUCCCUGCACCACCCUUAGAAUUGGAUGAUAAGAGCAUGGUUGCGGAUCCUCAGUCUGAACACUCCGUAGUUGACACCAGGAUGGACACCAAGAAGUCGUAGGAGCCAAAGUCAUGAUCAUCUGCAGCGAGCCAGAAGCUGAAGAUGGAACCGUUGUCAUAAUGAUGAACCAUGAAGUCAAGACUGGCAUCGUGAGGACCGUGUGUGCUAUGGGAGUCCUCCACUUGCCACUGGGCAGAGAAGGACUUACUGGCAGCCAGGACCAACAACCUGCGGAGGGUAGUGGUGGGCUGAUGCGUCCCUGUGUGGACUGCUUGCACUCGGUAGCACUGAGGACAUACUCCGCGGCAUCUGUGAGCCCUUCAGCAAAGCCCUGGAACAACUGA